rnacentral:rRNA from 1 species
UACAGAGGUCUCGAGCGUUGUUCGGAUUCAUUGGGCGUAAAGGGUGCGUAGGUGGCGCCGUAAGUCGGGUGUGAAAUUUCGGAGCUUAACUCCGAAACUGCAUUCGAUACUGCGGUGCUUGAGGACUGGAGAGGAGACUGGAAUUCCUGGUGUAGCGGUGAAAUGCGCAGAUAUCAGGAGGAACACCGGUGGCGAAGGCGGGUCUCUGGGCCGUAACUGACGCUGAGGAGCGAAAGCGUGGGGAGCGAACAGG